GCCCGGGUGGCGGAACGGCAGACGCGGUGGUCUCAAAAACCUCUGUCGCAAGACGUGCGGGUUCAAAUCCCGCCCCGGGCACCA
rnacentral:tRNA from 1 species